GACGUAGGGCGCGAGCGUUGUUCGGAUUUACUGGGCGUAAAGGGCGCGUAGGCGGCCAGCACAAGUCAGUUGUGAAAUCUCCGAGCUUAACUCGGAAAGGUCAACUGAUACUGUGCGGCUAGAGUGCGGAAGGGGCAACUGGAAUUCUUGGUGUAGCGGUGAAAUGCGUAGAUAUCAAGAGGAACACCUGCGGCGAAGGCGGGUUGCUGGGCCGACACUGACGCUGAGGCGCGAAAGCCAGGGGAGCGAACGGG
rnacentral:rRNA from 1 species